CGGCAUUCAUCUUCCUCCUGCCCCGGAGCUGUGCACUGACAGGCAGCAGAGGCAGGUCAGCAGCAGAUAAAAAAAAAUGUUCCCUGCCUGCUACCAGCUUACCACACACUGCCAUGAGAUCCCCUUCGCUGGUAGCAGCAGAACGUCGGCACAAGGGUUCACAUUCUGCUGGUGCUUUGGAUGAUGGGGCUGAGUGCUUUUGACAUCACAGAGGAGCCAGAGAUCAUCGUCCAGCCCCUCAGACGUUGGACGGGAGGACCGAGGGGAAAGCGUUGAGGAGAAGGAGAUGCAAGAGAGGCCAGAGUGUCCAUUAAGGAGGAGCCGUCCGCUACUGGAGUGUUUAUGCAUCCCUCUCUUAAGUGUUCCACCGAAACCUCAUCUGCAUGGAACUGUGGAGCAGCGGCGAGGCGUUGAGAAUUUAUCUUGCAGCGGCACAGCGUUACACAAUCGCGCUCCAAACAGCCCACGCCUGCUUUGUAGACUUGGUGACGUUUUUGCUGCGACCCGCUCAAGAGCAAAGGGAAGCAGCCAUGCCAACCCAAUCUGACACGAUCAGUGGCUACUAGUGAUCUGGAGUUCUGUACCGCCAAGAUCUCCAGUUAACCUCAAACACACAACUGCCUCCGCAGUCACUGAAAAUGACAUGAGGCCCGAGUAUGAAACAUCCGAAAUAAACACAGCGGUACUGCAUGGUUCA
rnacentral:lncRNA from 1 species